AAGACUAUACUUUCAGGGAUCAUUUCCACAGUUUGUUACUAGAGAAGUUUCUCUGAAUAUGCAGAGUUUAAAAAAAAAAUUAGAUUCAAAACAGCAAAAGACUAAUACAUCUGA
ensembl:snoRNA U3 Small nucleolar RNA U3